UUGAGAUCAUUCGUGUUUUAACUUUUGAGUGAAUUAAAUCAUAUUGGAAAGAAAUUUAUACAAAUAUUGGUAUAUUGACAUAUUUAAAAAUUUCGUUACCAUUCAGCCAAAUAUACAUACAUAUAUUGAAUGUUCUUUAGUAAGAUUGAAGUACACAUCAAUAUUAUAGCGUUAUUGUUAAAAGUGAAGAAAGGUUGUGAAAGUGCCACAACAAUCGACUGACGAAAGAGCCAGAAAAAGCAAGGCGAUAUAGUGAAUCAUAUUAAUUACAAAGUUACAAAAGUAAAAAAGGCGAAUCUCUAACGAAUAAAUAAUUCUAAAAAACCUGUGCCACCGCUCCGUGUGGAGUUUUUGGGCAUAAGUGUAAACAAUUGACUAAUAUCGAAGACGAAAAAUAAUUUUCGUAGUUUUGGCAAACAUAUAUAUAUAUAUUAAAUUUAAAAAUGAAUCUAUCAUUUGCUGGUUGUGGAUUCUUGGGUAUUUAUCAUGUGGGCGUGGCAGUAUGUUUUAAGAAAUAUGCACCACAUCUGCUGCUGGAGAAGAUUGGAGGCGCAUCUGCGGGAUCUCUUGCUGCUUGUUGUCUUCUUUGCGAUUUGCCGUUAGGAAGCAUGACAUCUGAUUUCUUCCGUGUAGUCAAUGAAGCCCGCCGUCAUUCCCUUGGUCCAUUCAGUCCCUCAUUCAAUAUACAGACAUGCCUCUUUGAAGGCUUACAAAGGCACUUGCCUGAGGAUGCGCAUUUGCGUGUUAGCGGACGAUUACACGUCUCGAUGACCCGUGUACAUGAUGGUGAAAAUGUGAUCAUUUCAGAAUUCGAGUCCCGAGAUGAACUCUUACAGGCACUACUGUGUGCGUGUUUUAUACCAGGCUUCUCAGGAAUACUACCACCACGAUUUCGAGGUGUACGUUAUAUGGAUGGUGCUUUUUCCAACAAUUUGCCAAUUUUGGAUGAGAACACAAUUACAGUCAGUCCUUUCUGCGGUGAGAGUGAUAUUUGUCCACGUGAUAUAAGCUCUCAACUCUUCCAUUUGAAUUGGGCAAACACAAGCAUAGAAAUAUCGCGUCAGAAUGUCAAUCGCUUUGUUCGUAUUCUAUUCCCACCACGUCCAGAAUUUCUAUCGAAAUUCUGCCAGCAGGGAUUCGAUGACGCGAUGCAGUUCCUUCAACGUAACAACCUGAUAAACUGCCGUCGUUGUGUAGCUGUUCAGUCGACAUUUGUAGUGUCAGAAACUGUGGCUCAACCCCAGGACUUUGAUCCAGAAUGUAGGGAGUGCAAAAAGCAUAGAAAUGACGCUUUAAGCUCAAAUAUGCCACAGACUGUUUUGGAUGUCAUUCAGGAUUACAUUGAGCAAGCUAACAAGGGCUUGGCUAAUUGGUUAUUCAAACAUCGUGGAGUAAAAUUGCUUUCGUUACCAGCAACAGUACCCUUAGAUUUCUUCAUGGCAACAGUAUCAAAGAUUGUUGAACUAACACCCAUAUUGGCCAAACACAUUCGCGAGAAGGUUUUAACUGCUCUCAAACAGAUAAUUGAAUUGUUGCAGUCGGAGAUAUUAAGCAAAGUGACGGUCUGUGAUUCGCCACACUUUGACACCACCGGUUUAUUACACUCCAGCCGUCUCUAUGGACCAAGAGUAUCAAUAUUAGUUGACGAGUGCGGCGCACCAUCGGUAGACGGAGACGUAGACCAUUACGAACAUGUUUUAAAAGUAACUACUCACAACGAUGCGCUUUACGCUUAUUAUUAUACCGACGAUCUAACAAAUAAAGUAAAAGUGACAGAAAUAUUCGAAAUGGACGAAGACGAGAAACUAGCCACUGAUCCGAAAUUAUACGAAGGUGUUAUCGAAGAUCAUCCAAAUCCUCGUCAACAUCAUCAUGACGUUGUUAGCGAAUGGAAUGGCAUAGAGUCUGUGCAAGUUAUACCCAGCAAACCAGAAAUUCGUGAAAAUAUUUUUUAAACAAAUGAUUAUGAACUAUUGCAAAAAUCUUAAAAUACUCGGAUUAUUUGUAAACCAAUAAUAUUAUUUAUUUACGUAACACAAUAUAAAAUGAUGUACAGCCUUCUACAUAGAUGAAUAUGCGACAAACCAAAUUCCUUCCGAACGACAAGAUACGACGCCAACAGCAACGACUAAUAAUUAUGUAGUGAAUAAGAUUGAAGAUCAAAUUGUGAAAGGCGAUAAUAUUAACGAGGAAAACGAGACAGGAGUAUUCAGCGAUCCCGAAGUGGAUCAGUACUUUAAUACGCAAAGGCCAAGAAAUAGUGGUCAAACGAUAUGAAUGCUUGAAAUGACAUUCAAUUAAUCAUCAACUAAUCGUGUAUCUCUAUGCAUUUAUCUAUAUAUGUAAAUAUAUAUAAUAUAUAUAUAUGUAUAUACGUAUAUUCCGGACUUGCCAUUAAUUAGUUAAAUACAUAUAUAUAUAUAAAUCAUCAACUAGUAGUAUAACACUUCAAACCUUGAAAAGUUCGAACAUUGUUAGAACCCUUUCGCAAAACUAUCAGUAAAAUUUGUAUUAUUUAACCAAUUGGUUAAACAAUACAAUUUUUACUGAUUCAAUUAUGUUAUAAUCUAAACUGUUGUAAUCCUAACAAGAGUAAGUUAUUAUUAUUGUAGCGAAACAAUCAUUUUAAUUUGAUCGUAUGCAUACACUAAAU
rnacentral:misc_RNA from 1 species